GACAGAGGGUGCAAACGUUGUUCGGAAUUACUGGGCGUAAAGCGCGUGUAGGCGGUUUCCUAAGUCAGGUGUGAAAGCCCCGGGCUCCACCCGGGAAGUGCACUUGAAACUGGGAGGCUAGAGUAUCGGAGAGGUUGGUGGAAUUCUCGGUGUAGCGGUGGAAUGCGCAGAUAUCAGGAGGAACACCGGUGGCGAAAGCGGCGUGCUGGACCUUUACUGACGCUGAGGCGCGAAAGCCAGGGGAGCAAACGGG
rnacentral:rRNA from 1 species